rnacentral:tRNA from 1 species
AGGGUUGUGGCUCAGUGGUAGAGCGCUCACCUAGUGCUUUGAGAGGCCCUGGGUUCAAUCCUCAGCACCACAU